rnacentral:rRNA from 1 species
AUUGAACGCUGGCGGAAUGCUUUACACAUGCAAGUCGAACGGUAGAGGGGGGCAACCCCUUGAGAGUGGCGAACGGGUGAGUAAUAUAUCGGAACGUGCCCAGUCGUGGGGAUAACGUAGCGAAAGUUACGCUAAUACCGCAUACGAUCUAAGGAUGAAAGCGGGGGAUCGCAAGACCUCGCGCGAUUGGAGCGGCCGAUAUCAGAUUAGGUAGUUGGUGAGGUAAAGGCUCACCAAGCCAACGAUCUGUAGCUGGUCUGAGAGGACGACCAGCCACACUGGAACUGAGACACGGUCCAGACUCCUACGGGAGGCAGCAGUGGGGAAUUUUGGACAAUGGACGCAAGUCUGAUCCAGCCAUUCCGCGUGCAGGAUGAAGGCCCUCGGGUUGUAAACUGCUUUUGUACGGAACGAAAGGUUUCUAUUAAUACUAGGAGCUCAUGACGGUACCGUAAGAAUAAGCACCGGCUAACUACGUAGCCAGCAGCCGCGGUAAAGU